rnacentral:misc_RNA from 1 species
GAAAUGCGAUAAUUAAUGUGAAUUGCAGAAUUCAGUGAAUCAUCGAGUCUUUGAACGCACAUUGCGCCCCCUGGUAUUCCGGGGGGCAUGCCUGUCCGAGCGUCAUUGCUGCCCUCAAGCACGGCUUGUGUGUUGGGCUUCCGUCCCUGGCAACGGGGACGGGCCCAAAAGGCAGUGGCGGCACCAUGUCUGGUCCUCGAGCGUAUGGGGCUUUGUCACCCGCUCCCGUAGGUCCAGCUGGCAGCUAGCCUCGCAACCAAUCUUUUUAACCAGGUUGACCUCGGAUCAGGUAGAGAUACCCGCUGAACUUGAGC